rnacentral:rRNA from 1 species
GCCGCGGUAAGACGUAGGGCGCGAGCGUUGUCCGGAUUUAUUGGGCGUAAAGAGCUCGUAGGCGGCUUGUCGCGUCGGCUGUGAAAUCCCGUGGCUCAACUGCGGGCUUGCAGCCGAUACGGGCAGGCUAGAGUUCGGUAGGGGAGACUGGAAUUCCUGGUGUAGCGGUGAAAUGCGCAGAUAUCAGGAGGAACACCGGUGGCGAAGGCGGGUCUCUGGGCCGAUACUGACGCUGAGGAGCGAAAGCGUGGGGAGCGAACAGGAUUAGAUACCCUGGUAGUCCACGCUGUAAACGUUGGGCGCUAGGUGUGGGGGGCCUCUCCGGUUCUCUGUGCCGCAGCUAACGCAUUAAGCGCCCCGCCUGGGGAGUACGGCCGCAAGGCUAAAACUCAAAGGAAUUGACGGGGGCCCGCACAAGCGGCGGAGCAUGCGGAUUAAUUCGAUGCAACGCGAAGAACCUUACCUGGGUUUGACAU